rnacentral:rRNA from 1 species
UAGACCUCCCACCCUUGUGUAUUAUUACUUUGUUGCUUUGGCGAGCUGCCUUCGGGCCUUGUAUGCUCGCCAGAGAAAACCAAAACUCUUUUUAUUAAUGUCGUCUGAGUACUAUAUAAUAGUUAAAACUUUCAACAACGGAUCUCUUGGUUCUGGCAUCGAUGAAGAACGCAGCGAAAUGCGAUAAGUAAUGUGAAUUGCAGAAUUCAGUGAAUCAUCGAAUCUUUGAACGCACAUUGCGCCCCUUGGUAUUCCGGGGGGCAUGCCUGUUCGAGCGUCAUUUCAACCCUCAAGCUUAGCUUGGUAUUGAGUCUAUGUCAGUAAUGGCAGGCUCUAAAAUCAGUGGCGGCGCCGCUGGGUCCUGAACGUAGUAAUAUCUCUCGUUACAGGUUCUCGGUGUGCUUCUGCCAAAACCCAAAUUUUUCUAUGGUUGACCUCGGAUCAGGUAGGGAUACCCGCUGAACUUAAGCAUAUCAAUAAGCGGAGGAAC